UACGUAGGGGGCUAGCGUUGUCCGGAAUCAUUGGGCGUAAAGCGCGUGUAGGCGGUCCGGUAAGUCCGCUGUGAAAGUCGGGGGCUCAACCCUCGGAUGCCGGUGGAUACUGUCGGGCUUGAGUACGGAAGAGGCGAGUGGAAUUCCUGGUGUAGCGGUGGAAUGCGCAGAUAUCAGGAGGAACACCAAUGGCGAAGGCAGCUCGCUGGGACGUGACUGACGCUGAGACGCGAAAGCGUGGGGAGCAAACAGG
rnacentral:rRNA from 1 species